rnacentral:rRNA from 1 species
GACGAACGCUGGCGGCGUGCUUAACACAUGCAAGUCGAACGGAAAGGCCCUGCUUUUGUGGGGUGCUCGAGUGGCGAACGGGUGAGUAACACGUGAGUAACCUGCCCUUUACUUUGGGAUAACUUCAGGAAACUGGGGCUAAUACCGGAUAGGAGCUCCUGCUGCAUGGUGGGGGUUGGAAAGUUUCGGCGGUUGGGGAUGGACUCGCGGCUUAUCAGCUUGUUGGUGGGGUAGUGGCUUACCAAGGCUUUGACGGGUAGCCGGCCUGAGAGGGUGACCGGCCACAUUGGGACUGAGAUACGGCCCAGACUCCUACGGGAGGCAGCAGUGGGGAAUAUUGCACAAUGGGCGGAAGCCUGAGGCAGCAACGCCGCGUGCGGGAUGACGGCCUUCGGGUUGUAAACCGCUUUCGCCUGUGACGAAGCGUGAGUGACGGUAAUGGGUAAAGAAGCACCGGCUAACUACGUG